rnacentral:rRNA from 1 species
UACGGUGGGGGCAAGCGUUGUUCGGAAUUACUGGGCGUAAAGGGCUCGUAGGCGGCCAACUAAGUCGGAUGUGAAAUCCCCAGGCUCAACUUGGGAACUGCAUCCGAUACUGGAUGGCUUGAAUUCGGGAGAGGGAUGCAGAAUUCCAGGUGUAGCGGUGAAAUGCGUAGAUAUCUGGAGGAAUACCGGUGGCGAAGGCGGCAUCCUGGACCGACAUUGACGCUGAGGAGCGAAAGCUAGGGGAGCAAACGGG